CCCCGCCAGAGGACCCCUAACUCUGUUUCUAUUAU
rnacentral:rRNA from 1 species